CUGAAAUAAUGGGCGCCAAAAAUAAAAUACACGCGUCUUUUUUUAGUUUUUUAUCUAACCUCUAACCUUUCUCAUUCCAUCUCUCUCACUUCUCAACUCUAUUCUCAGUCUCUCACUUCUCAACUCUCUAUCUCCUUCACAUCUAACCUCUCGGAUCUCUCUCCAAGUCUUACUAUUUCUCAUGUAGGUGGCUGGCGCAAGAGGUUGGACAGCGACGGAAACAGGGCUCAACGGUGCGUGGGCUCGACGAUAUUUCUCUCUCUCCCUGCUUUUGACGGUUAUGCUCUUAUUUUGCCUCAAAUUUCACCAUUUACCUCUGUUUUUUUGCCUCAAAUUUCGGCUACAAUUCUUUCUUCUAAGGGAAAUUUUGGACCUUAUUUGCUUUUAUGUGCUCUAUUUUUUUAGUUUUGUUUUUUAUUUGUGAGAUACCAAAAAUUUUGAUUUGGGGAUACUGAAACCCUUAAGUAGUGUUAUAGCUCCAUUAAUCAUAUGGGUUUUGUGAUUUGGGGAACUGAAACUAAUAAAGACUCCCAGUUUAGUUUCUUCUUUUUUCUAUUUUUGUUUCUUUCCACUCACAGGUUCUCGUUGGAAUUUAUGUUUUAAUUAAAGGCAUUUCUUAAUUUCCUUUUAGUUGGUUUUUGUAGAAUUCUGAAAUACUAGAUGAAUUGAGGCAAUUGGCAAGGGCUUCGAACUAUGGGAGCUCUUGUUUGCAAAAUGUGUAUCUUCAUAGGAGUACAACUAUUCAAAGAAAAUUGCUCUGUUUUCCAGCUCUGGUAUGUUCAAACGUUGAUUAUCAAAUGGUUGCAGUCACAUAUAUGCACCAUCAUAGCCAAGACGACACAUAAACACUAAUGUGAGACAUAUAUAUGUAUGAUAUAACACUGAAGGUACUAAAUCAACACAAAUAAUAUUGAAUCUUUAUAUCUUUAUUUUGUGUUUUCUUUUCUUUUGGUACCAUAUACACAUGCUUUUCUAAUAUGAAGCACGUAUAUAUAUAUAUAUUUAUAUAUGUUAUUUUGUAGAUUUUAAUUGUUAGUUUUGGGCUUAUAAUAUUAAGUUUUAUUUUUGUAGGUUUGUGAAAUAUAGGAACUAGCAAAACAUAAUUAAAUCUAAGAAUACUUACUCAUGUGCCUAAAUAGCAUAACCAAGCAAAGUUUAGAUGAGUCGUUGGCUCCCUAAAAUAUUCAUUUUUUGUAACUCUGUUCAUUUUAUUUAUUUCUCUUUUUUUGUUAUAUAUAUACACACACUCUAGUAUUUAUUGGGUUCUCUAUUUUUUUGAAAUGUAAACCAGGUGUUUGUGAGAAUGCCUCACUGAAACCAUUAAAUAAUCUGAAGAUUAAUUUUCACAUUCUUCAGGCACACAAAAGAACAACUUUGAGGGCAUUCUUCUACUAUCUUACCUAAACUUGUUUGAAGGUGGUUCUUGAAAAUAUCGCACGGGCCUUGAACAGUGGAGCUUUAUUGUUCAAUAAUCUAGAAUGAUAAAAAUUCCCCCCCAUGAUGUAAGUGAAGAACUGUCUUCUGAUUUGAAUGCAAAAGUUCUUCCAAUUUCUCUUGACCCUAAUAGGACAAUGCUGUUGUGCUGGUUCAAGAACUUAUGUCCAUGAGUGUGUGUAUGACGAGUUUGUUGAAAAAGCAAAGGCACGUGCAAUGAAAGGUGUUGUUGGCGAUCCAUUCAAGGCAUGCAUUGAACAAGGCCCACAGCUAAACAAAUCAACCUCACAACAAAGACAAGUGCACAAUGGAAUAGAUGAUGAAUUGGAGGGUGGAGCAAGCUUCAUGGUUUACUUUUUGUGUAUAUUGUUAUGUUUCUGAUUUUUACUUUUGAAGCAAAAGAUGUGCAAGACUAUAGAAUUUUAUUAUGUACGCUUUCAAAACUCAAGUUAGAACUAAGAACUUUUAAAGUGGACAGUGUCAUGGUU